rnacentral:rRNA from 2 species
GUCUGCAUGGAGCCGACCUUGAAAUACCACCCUUUAAUGUUUGAUGUUCUAACGUGGACCCGUAAUCCGGGUUGCGGACAGUGUCUGGUGGGUAGUUUGACUGGGGCGGUCUCCUCCUAAAGAGUAACGGAGGAGCACGAAGGUUGGCUAAUCCUGGUCGGACAUCAGGAGGUUAGUGCAAUGGCAUAAGCCAGCUUGACUGCGAGCGUGACGGCGCGAGCAGGUGCGAAAGCAGGUCAUAGUGAUCCGGUGGUUCUGAAUGGAAGGGCCAUCGCUCAACGGAUAAAAGGUACUCCGGGGAUAACAGGCUGAUACCGCCCAAGAGUUCAUAUCGACGGCGGUGUUUGGCACCUCGAUGUCGGCUCAUCACAUCCUGGGGCUGAAGUAGGUCCCAAGGGUAUGGCUGUUCGCCAUUUAAAGUGGUACGCGAGCUGGGUUUAGAACGUCGUGAGACAGUUCGGUCCCUAUCUGCCGUGGGCGCUGGAGAACUGAGGGGGGCUGCUCCUAGUACGAGAGGACCGGAGUGGACGCAUCACUGGUGUUCGGGUUGUCAUGCCAAUGGCACUGCCCGGUAGCUAAAUGCGGAAGAGAUAAGUGCUGAAAGCAUCUAAGCACGAAACUUGCCCCGAGAUGAGUUCUCCCUGAGACUUAGAGUCUCCUGAAGGAACGUUGAAGACGACGACGUUGAUAGGCCGGGUGUGUAAGCGCAGCGAUGCGUUGAGCUAACCGGUACUAAUGAACCGUGAGGCUUAACCUUACA